rnacentral:lncRNA from 1 species
GUAAUUUUGAGCAACAGUCUUUUUUUGUGUUAAUUCAAAGUUGAAACAUGUUUAAAAUCAUCCAAGAAAGUUGCUUAAGUGCUCAGAUUUAUUGCAGAGUUACUGUUGCAUCAUUUGAGUCACAAAACCACCAAAUUCUAAGUACUUAAGAGUGAAAUUUUGCGUUUGACCUUAUUCUUUGCUUUUGAUCACAUUCCUACCUUGAUUAGACUAAGUUAGACUUGUUAGGAUGUUUACAUAACUUACAAUAAGUCUACAUUAGGUGAAUUGACCAUUUUUGACCUUAAAAGUUCACUUUUUAGGUACUUAAGAGUCAAAUUUGGAGUUUGACCUUAUUCUUUGCUUUUGACCACAUUCCUACCUUUGUUAGACUAAGUUAGACUUGUUAGGAUGUUUACAUACCUUAGAAUAAGUCUACAUUAGCUUAAUUGACCAUUUUUGACCUUAAAAGUUCACUUUUUAGGUACUUAAGAGUCAAAUUUGGAGUUUGACCUUAUUCUUUUCUUUUGACCACUUUCCUACCUUGAUUAGACUAAGUUAGACUUGUUAGGAUGUUUGCAUACCUUAGAAUAAGUUUACAUUAGGUUAAUUGACCAUUUUUUACCUUAAAAGUUCACUUUUUAGGUACUUAAGAGUCAAAUUUCGAGUUUGACCUUAUUCUUUGCUUUUGACCACAUUCCUACUCUUAUUAGACUAAGUUAGACUUGUUAGGAUGUUUACAUACCUUAGAAUAAGUCUACAUUAGGUUAAUUGACCAUUUUUGACCUUUAAAGUUCACUUUUUAGGUACUUAAGAGUCAAAUUUCGAGUUUGACCUUAUUCUUUGUUUUUGACCACUUUCCUACCUUGAUUAGACUAAGUUAGACUUGUUAGGAUGUUUGCAUACCUUAGAAUA